UACGAGGGAUCCAAGCGUUGUCCGGAUUUACUGGGUUUAAAGGGUGCGUAGGCGGAUUGAUAAGUCAGUGGUGAAAGCUCCCAGCUUAACUGGGAAACUGCCAUUGAAACUGUCAGUCUCGAGUAUGGUUGAGGUUACUGGAAUGUUGCAUGUAGCGGUGAAAUGCUUAGAUAUGCAACAGAACACCAAUUGCGAAGGCAGGUAACUAAGCCAUAACUGACGCUGAGGCACGAAAGCGUGGGGAGCAAACAGG
rnacentral:rRNA from 1 species